AAUAAGAGUAUGGGCAAUCUUCACUGUUUCACACAGGAGUCAGCAUAACCUGGAUGCUUUAUUAACCAGAGAGAUUCACACAGUGCAGAGAAUUUUAGAAGUCCAUUGAUACACCAAGGCUGAUACAUUUCCAUCACAGUGUGACAGCAGGGGGCAGAUGUGGGGCCAGCCCCAUCAUCUCUCCACAGCUCUGAGGAGUGAACUGGGAGGCAAAGGUGGACUUUACCCUCAUGAAGUGAUGUCAGUGAGCUGUGCUAGUACAUCUGCUGCCUUUCUUCUCCCCUGGGGAGGAUUAGCUUUGUCUCCUGCUGCUGGAAAUGAAGCCAUUGAAAUGAUGGAGUUCAUAAUGCGUGAACCUACCACACACCCUUCUGUCCCCAGAGCCUCUCCAAGGAAUUAAAAUUCAG
rnacentral:lncRNA from 1 species